rnacentral:lncRNA from 1 species
GACAAGGGUCAGCAAGACGCUUUCUGACUCCACUCACGUGAAGGCACUCAACCACAAUGGACAAAAGUGAACAGUUCGCCCGUGCACUCCUCUCAAAGUACAAAGAAAGGUCAGAGUACCUUCAACAGCAACACCAAUAAUUGAUGAUCGCAACAGAUAUUACGACUACUCGAGUACUUGGACUUGUUCUUCCCGACUACAAAGAUCAGCCAAGAUAAAAGAUCAUCAAUCAACAAUUCAGACUUCAAAUAAAAUUCAAAGAAUUGUUUUGAG